AAAAGAAAUCAAAUAUUGACUUUUGUAACAAAUGUGUGUGUGUAUAUAUAUAUAUACACACACACAUAUAUAUAUUUCCUAUCUAAGAAUAUGAGAUCUUAGGUCAGAAUUGCUCUCCAUCUUUACAUCUCCCCCAACCCCUAACAUGGUGCAUUCCACAAAGCAAGCCGCAAUAAAUAAGAGUCAUGGAAAGCAGGCCAGAUAAAUCAAAAUGGCAUGAUUUUAUGAUUGUAAUAUGUUUAUUUUAUAAUCAAAAGUGUUUUGUUAAAAUAAAUUGUGUAAUUAUUUGCAGCAUAUAUGAUUACAUUCAAUAUUAUAAAAUGUAAAGAACUCUAACUUUGAGUUUUAAAGAAAUAACUUCUAGAAAUAAAAAUAUAAUAAUUAAUAUUUAAAAACUUGAUGGAAAGAUUAAGCAGAGAAAGCUUAAAAGUGAAUGUGGGCAUUGGAAUCGAGAUUAGAAGAAAUUACACUGGAUACAAAACAGAAAGACAAUGAGGUAUAAAGUGUGAGGGAGGCUGAGACGUACAGAGGAUACAAUGCCUCAUCAUCUGUCUAAAGUGAAUGGUGUACAGGUGACAUGUGAAUAGGUAAGAACUGAGAAUUUUCUUUUUUCUUUUCUUUUUUUUUUAGAGCUGUGGCCUUUCUCUGUCAGCCAGGCUGGAGUGUAGUGACACCGUCAUAGCUCACAGC
rnacentral:lncRNA from 1 species